AAUCCAUGCAUCAGACACUUCCGAAUUAAGUUUUUAAAUCACUCCCAAGCUUCAUAUAGCGUUUCAUCCUCCAAUUUCCAAAAAGAUGUGAUGUCAUUUCUAAGCUU
rfam:Gossypium raimondii chromosome 2, whole genome shotgun sequence.